rnacentral:ncRNA from 15 species
UUGGGAAAUAAGUGCGGAUGGUAACAACAAAGAGCAUUUAGAGAAGGAAACCGGUGUGAAUCCGGUGCAGGCUUACCCCUACUGUAAACGUGGACGAAGAAUAAAAGCCAUUGUCCGUCAGGAUGAGAAGGCAUUCCAAGGAUGAAACGUGAGCCAGGAUACUUACAUAUCCCUAUGGACCUGUU